rnacentral:rRNA from 1 species
UCUGGGACAAGCCCUGGAAACGGGGUCUAAUACCGGAUAACACUUCCUGCCGCAUGGUGGGGGGUUAAAAGCUCCGGCGGUGAAGGAUGAGCCCGCGGCCUAUCAGCUUGUUGGUGGGGUGAUGGCCUACCAAGGCGACGACGGGUAGCCGGCCUGAGAGGGCGACCGGCCACACUGGGACUGAGACACGGCCCAGACUCCUACGGGAGGCAGCAGUGGGGAAUAUUGCACAAUGGGCGAAAGCCUGAUGCAGCGACGCCGCGUGAGGGAUGACGGCCUUCGGGUUGUAAACCUCUUUCAGCAGGGAAGAAGCGAAAGUGACGGUACCUGCAGAAGAAGCGCCGGCUAACUACGUGCCAGCAGCCGCGGUAAUACGUAGGGCGCAAGCGUUGUCCGGAAUUAUUGGGCGUAAAGAGCUCGUAGGCGGCUUGUCACGUCGGAUGUGAAAGCCCGGGGCUUAACCCCGGGUCUGCAUUCGAUACGGGCUAGCUAGAGUGUGGUAGGGGAGAUCGGAAUUCCUGGUGUAGCGGUGAAAUGCGCAGAUAUCAGGAGGAACACCGGUGGCGAAGGCGGAUCUCUGGGCCAUUACUGACGCUGAGGAGCGAAAGCGUGGGGAGCGAACAGGAUUAGAUACCCUGGUAGUCCACGCCGUAAACGUUGGGAACUAGGUG